UUAAAAAGACAUUGUUACUCCUCAAAAACAUUCAAUUCAUUCUAUUGUUGUAGUUAUGCCUAGGUGGUACAAUCAAUCAUCAACGGCGAAAUCAGUUUUUGAGGAAUAACGACUAAACACUUCGUUCAUUAACAAGGUACGUAUAGUAUAGUAGGAGUAGGAGUAGUUUUUUUCAAUUUCAUUCAUAUACUCAAAAUGUUCGCUACACAUCGCCAUAGAUCCCUUCUCCAUCUCAACGCUCUAACUUUCUCACAAUCCCUAAAACCUAACCCUCUUUUCUUACCAUUUUCUCUCCAUUUCUCCACCAACACUUCCGAUUCACCAUCAUUUGCAGUCUCCUACCUCAUCCACAAUUUUGGCUUCUCCCCACUCUUAGCAAACAAACUUUGCUCCACUUACAGAGUUAAAUUUAAGACUGCCCAAAACCCUGAUUCAGUUCUCACUUUCUUUAGAAAUCAAGGUUUCUCUGAUUCCCAACUACGGGAUACCAUUGCAAAGGCACCAUGGUUGCUUUCCUGCAACCCCCUCAAAAGGGUGUUGCCAAAGUUUCAAUUUUUUCUCUCCAAAGGUGCUUCUAACUCUGACAUUGUUAACCUUGUUAGUAAGAACCCUUUGCUCCUGUCUUCAAGUCUGGAGAAUCAAAUUGUUCCAGCCUAUGAAUUUGUUUAUAGAUUCUUGAAAUCUCACAAGAACACUAUUGCUUGUGCACGUGGAAAUCCAAGUUUCUUUGGACACAUUUAUAUGCCACGUAACAUCAAAUUGCUUAUUGAGAAUGGAGUAACAGAUUCAAACAUUGCAACAUUGCUUCAGUUGUGGAGCAGGGCAUUCAAAUUGAGAACAACUGACACACUGAAGGUGGUGGAGGAAUUAAAGGAUAUGGGGUUUAAUCCUAAACAAACAAUUUUCGCAGUAGCAAUGGCUGCCAAAGCAUCUCUAAGCAAAGCCCGGUGGAAAGAGAAAGUUGAUGCCUUUAAGAAAUGGGGUUGGUCUGAUCAAGAUGUUAUGGAAGCAUUUAGAAGGCAGCCUCAUUGUAUGUUAACAUCCAUUGAUAAAAUUAAUUUAGUGAUGGACUUUUGGGUUAAUGAGUUGGGUUGGGAUGCUCUGGCCAUUGUCAAAAGACCAAGGGUUUUGGGGGCUAGUCUGGAGAGAAGGAUCAAACCAAGAGCAUCAGUUCUGCAAUAUCUUCUGAACAAAGGUUUGCUAAAAAAGAAUGCAAGCUUAACUUAUCCAUUUGUAGUCGUUGAUACUAUGUUUCUUGACAAAUAUGUAAAACGUUUUAAGGAGGAAUCUUCUUAUCUGUUGAACCUUUAUGAAGAAAAACUCAAUCUUGCACAUGCCAGGGACAAAACCAGCAUGUCAUGAACAAAUUUUCAGAUGUUGCAGUUUCAUUGACAUUCUGCUGAAAUAGUAUCAUCAUCAUCUAUUUUCGUUGAAGUUGAAUAGAUAACAUCUCAAGAAUUGUGCACACCUUGACGACGAAGACCUUGAAAUAAAUUUCAAGAAAAUCCUGUUUCGUAUACAGGUACCAGCAGCAGCAGAGCUGCAAUAUGCGGCAGAAAGAAUUAGUCUCAUCCAUUUAGGAAGAAGUACAUGGCCCUCAAUUUGAUUAUGAAGCUAGGAAGAAUUUAUAUGGUCUUCAAUUUGUUUGAGUUGAUUCUUCUAACAGAACAUGUUUGUAUGAAAUCUCUUUGCAUAUUUUGUAGCAGAGUUAUGGGACAGAAUUUCUUGAAAUAAAAUUGAAUGGAAAUCAGUUUUGAUUGCUUUA